CACGUAGGGCGCGAGCGUUGUCCGGAAUUAUUGGGCGUAAAGAGCUCGUAGGUGGUCCGCUACGUCCGCUGUGAAAACCCAGGGCUUAACCCUGGGCUUGCAGUGGAUACGGGCAGACUAGAGGUAGGUAGGGGAGAAUGGAAUUCCCGGUGUAGCGGUGAAAUGCGCAGAUAUCGGGAGGAACACCGGUGGCGAAGGCGGUUCUCUGGGCCUUACCUGACACUGAGGAGCGAAAGCGUGGGGAGCAAACAGG
rnacentral:rRNA from 1 species